GAUGAACGCUGGCGGCGUGCCUAAUACAUGCAAGUCGAGCGAACAGAUAAGGAGCUUGCUCCUUUGACGUUAGCGGCGGACGGGUGAGUAACACGUGGGUAACCUACCUAUAAGACUGGGAUAAUUUCGGGAAACCGGAGCUAAUACCGGAUAAUAUUUCGAACCGCAUGGUUCGAUAGUGAAAGAUGGUUUUGCUAUCACUUAUAGAUGGACCUGCGCCGUAUUAGCUAGUUGGUAAGGUAAAGGCUUACCAAGGCGACGAUACGUAGCCGACCGGAGAGGGUGAUCGCCCACACUGGAGCUGAGCCACGGUCCAGACUCCUACGGGAGGCAGCAGUAGGGAAUCUUCCGCAGUGGGCGGAAGCCUGACGGAGCAACGCCGCGUGAGUGAUGAAGGUCUUCGGAUCGUAAAACUCUGUUAUUAGGGAAGAACAUACGUGUAAGUAACUGUGCACGUCUUGACGGUACCUAAUCAGAAAGCCACGGCUAACUACGUG
rnacentral:rRNA from 1 species